AAAAACCAGCUGUGGGUUAUUAACCUCAGGCACCACCUGCACUGCCCCAAGCCUUUAUCCUUCCUGGGAGCCCUGAGGGUGAAGUGGCAAGUGCCUUUUAUUGUCUAUUAAGAUCUUGCAGGCUAUUUUGCCAGAAGUACCAGAGCUAUGCUUCUGGUGGCUUUUUGUUUUUAGCCCUAGGACUUGUCCUUUUUUUGGGAGAAUGGAAUGCAUCUGGGGUGUGCUGGAUAUUUCUGAGUGCAUGGUGGAGCCUCAUGAUAAUUGGAAUAUCUGUCAUGGUCCCAAGCUGCAAUGCGAGGGGGACUUUUAAUGAAGAUCCAGAGCCUGGGACUGCUGGCUCCCAGAUCCUCUGCUCCUGGUGGGAGUGAAGCCCUUUGAAGUGCUGCUGCAGCAAGGCAGGUUUUUGGGACCAGGGCAGCCCCACGGGAGGACAGCUGUGCAGUCCUCUCCUGGUGGGAACGAUGUGACCCCGGAUUCCUGCGGGGUGGGAUAGGGCAAGAGAAACCUCCACUUGCUCCCCUGAGGUCUGGCAGCCACGCUCUGCUCGCUGUCUGUCCCCUCCUGCUGGCCUUCACCCCGUCCAGGGACAAGGCUGCAGCUGCUCCCCAGCCCCACAGGAGCAGGAUUUGGGUCUGUGUGGGGCAGCUGCAGCCCACGGCAGGCACAGAAACAAACUGGGGCUUUCCUGAGGCAGGGAAUGCAGCCUCAGCUCUGCUGUGCAUCCUCACUGCCAUGACUGAUGCCUCUCUGGGGACUGGAGAAGAUUGCUGAGUGGGCAGGAGCUCAGGAAAUCAGGCAAUUUAAGGGGCUUUUGUGUGGAUUGAAGAGCCCCCAGACAGACACCUGCUUCUGAAAAUUUAUGCCAAGGGCACCAGCUGGGUGCAGGAAAGGAUCUGUGAGGUUGAGUUGGGCUGAGGCUGCUGUGUCAGACUGGGGUCCCUGAGCCAGAGGGAGCUGGCAGGGGCACAGUUCUGGCUGCAGGGACAAGGGUGACCUCCCUGCCUGGCAGAGAGGGUCUCUGGUGGGUGAUGGAGACAUGCCGCAGCUCAAGGAGCUCAUCCCUUGCCAUGGGGCUGCCCAGGUACAGCCAUUAGCCCUGCUCAGAGCAUCGACCUCCUGGUGGCUUGGUGGCUUCUGUCACAGGCUCAGUCCUUCAAGGAAGGAUCCCCCAAUCUCUGGAGACCUCCAGAAUGACCUCAGAGACCUGCAGACAGGGCAGUACAGCCCACAGCCCUGCUCCUCCAAUCAACCACCCAGUCCUGUGCCUGUGCAAUCCCUGCAGGCUGCCUGUGCUGGCUCUGGGGGCCUGUGGGGACCAGGGCAAGCAGAUCUGGCUGCAGCUUCCAGGCCUUCCUUUGUAAAUAAGCACCUAGCUGCUAUGGUAAUGCUUAUUUAAUUUAGACUAAGCAUUUCUGCAGCUGUUCUGGGGGAGUCAUGCUGCUUUAUGCUCAGUGUUAAUUCGUGGCUGCUCACAGCUGCAGAGUGUAUUGGCCAGGCACACCCUAGGGACAGGUUCUGCUGCCUGGUAGGGCACAGCCAUGAGGGCUGUCCCUGCUCUGGGCUUCCUGGGAAGUGCCAAGUGCUCCCCAAGACCACUGCACGCAGCUUACACCAGACAGAGACCAGUGCUGAACUGUGCUAGCAAAGCAGGCUGUAAAUUCUAGGUGACCUAAGGCAUUUUAAAAGAAAAAGGAUGCUGGUGCAUUUCCCAGGUGUAGCUGUCGUUUUUCCUGCCCUCUGCCCAGUCACACUGUGCCAGAAUGCAUGCUGGGUUUGCCUGCCUCAGUUGCACAGGAUUGAAUCUCCCCUUGCUCCUCAUCCAGGUUUUGAAUGACCAGGGUGGGUCAAGGUGCAGAGGUGAAGGGGACAGACCUGAGCAUGUGGCACAGGCACCUGAGGGACCCCAGGGGUUACAAGCAGUUGGUGGAGGCAGGAGGGUGUCAGGGAGCUGCUGGGGAAGGUCCUUGCUUUGGAGCCACCAUCAGAGCAGAGCUGCUUCAGCGCUGGCCAUAGGAGCCCUGUGCACCCUGAGCCAACUCUUCCUCAGAGCUGUGGGGACACAGCAACCAUCCCCAAAGAGCCCACAGAACCCCUGCUCCACUCUGCAGCACACCAGAGCCACAGUGCAGCUGAACCCUCUCCCAGCCAUGGGAUCCAUGGACUCCAAGGCUGAAAGGCUGCCAAGCCAUCCUGCUGCAGCAGGUGGGCCCUGCUGGCGAGGAGGAGCUGCAGCCAGUGCUCACAGCCCCCAGUGCUGGGAGCAGCUGGGAAGAUGCUGCUGUUGGCCAAGUGUGAUAAAAGUCUCCCUCCAGCCUCCCCUGGGCUGGGGUGGGUUGGAAAGCCUGGCUUAGUUUGCACUUGGGAUGAAGGCACUCUGCAAAAAGCAGAUUUUAGGACAUGACGGGCUGAAGUCAAGUCUCUGUGGAGGAUUUUGGGGCAGGCUUUGGGGAGCUGCAGGGUGCUGUGCAGCUGGAAAGGGCUCAGGAUUGCUGUGGUCCCAGCGUGGUCUCAGAGGGCACAGACCUUUGUGCAGGUGAGCUGACCCUGGGCACGAGUGAGCUGUGGACCCCAGCUGGUGGUGGGUCCAACCACGCCGUGGCUCCCACCACCUGAGGUGACCCUGGGCCCAAGCCUGCCAUGAACCAUGGUGGUUCCAGGUUCCAAGCUGGCCAGGGCCCCAACCAUUCUGCAGACCUCACACCAGCUCAGGCGGUGAGCAAAGCUUUGCAGAGGUGCUGGGUCUGUGCUCGGGCACACCAUCAGCUCCAUCCACGGCUCGUUUGGACCCGCUGCCAUCUCAGGGGUGCAGAGCUUGCAGAACCAACUUUGCCCCCCCUGGGACGAUGCUGGGCCCAUGGCAUGCUGAAAUGAGCCCACUCUGGCAGGAGCCCGUGCGUGAGUUGUCUCGCAAUCUGUUUAUGGCUGGGUUUGUGUCAGAAUUUAAACACUGCAGCGAGGAGUAAACGCAGCGAGCCCCACGCGGGCUUUGUUAUGACAUUUUGUUGCAGGCAGGAGGCAAGCUCCAGCUCCAAUAACAAACACCCAGUGUUAUGACACUUUUACCUUUCCAACUAUUUAUGCAAGCGCAAAUAUUUUAUUUUAAGGUUUGAGACACACCGUUAACACAAAGCAGUCUCAUUCCUGUCAGUGCAGCCUGGUUCUCACUUGGGGAGCUGUUGUUUAAUGAAAAGGUUAAUUGUGUUUUAUGGGGCUCUAUUGCCUGCCUACCAGUCUCUGGCUUGGAAGGAGGCGAGGUGCGGCUGCUGGUGCUCGUGCCAAGUUAUGGGCUGUGAAUACAGGCAGUUUCUGGGAAGAAAACAAAAUGCAUGACAAGAAGUGGCUCAGAAACCACUUGGUUUUGUGGUGCAAAUCUGUUUAGGUGCUACGGAAUUAAUUUCAUGUGAAAUUAUUUCCAACGAGGCUACCCCAUGACAACACCCAGCGCGGUGGAGGAUGAGAAUGGAGUUUCAAAGAACAAGGGCUGUUUUCUGCUCAGCUGCAAACACACUCAGCCUUGCCCUUCCAUAGCUGUACCAUGUUAAAUCCUGCAAGUAUUUUCCUCUCCUGAGGUUGAAUUAAUUAACUUGAAAUUUCUUAACAGCCUGUAAUGAGUGCAGAGAGCAGAAGGAACCGAAAGUUUAAUCUUGACUUGUCAGCAAAUUCCUCCUCCAGCAGCUGAAGGAGCAGCAGCCAUGCACUUGCAUAAUGCCCUGGUGUGGCCACCGGACUGUUUUGAUUAAAUGGAUUCUGGGGGUUUAGGAAAACUACAAAUUUUAUAGCUCUGGUGUUCUCUGCAAAAGUGAUGUAAAACAUCGUAAAGCUGCCAAACCACCACUGCGGUGCAGGGAUCCAUGCUGGCCUCCUCUGCAGCAGGGACUGUCAGCCUCAGAGAGCACUGCUAAGAAAACAAUCCAGAGGGAAUUGGCAGAAUGGUCUGGGGAGGGGAGGUUUGUGCACUGCAAACUUUUGUUCCCUCUUUCUGAGCAAUUAAUGUCUUUCGAUCCGUGCCGCUUAGAAGCCACAUGUGGAUUUGGCCUGGUGUUUGACCUGAACACUGCAGAACUCAGUGUUUCUCUGCAUCAGCACCACCCACAGCAGCAGUAAUACCUGAACUUCUCCCAUUGGAAGAGGUUUAAAACCUGUCUGUGUCACAAUACUGCCCUUUCUGCCUUCAGAGUGCAUUGAAGAUGGAUCCAGGGAAAUGGACUGUCUAAACAGUGGCUCCAGAGUAACUGAAAGAAGGUGUUAUUAGCCCAAAAACUCAUGUAGGGAGUCAUCCCCUGCCCCAUAUCCACCCCAUAUGCCACCUGGCAACUGCCCCAAGCAGUUAUACCCACUCCAGCUGCUCCUGAAGGGUGAACUCUCACCUGGGUGUCUCCAUCAAGUGUGCUGGAUCCCCAGGUCAGUCUGUGUCCCCUCAAACCUAACCCAGCUGUCAGAGCUUGCUUUGUUUUUCACUCAUGAGUGGGGUGAUGACCUGGUGCCUUGCAGAAGAAACAGCCUGGAAUAUGUAGUCUGUCUGUAGGCUUUGUCAGCUCCUUCUGUUGCAAAGCCUCACAGGUUUGGGCUGGAUGGAAGCCCUGGGAAUGCUGCACCCUCCACUGAGGGUCUGCCUCUGAGAUUUUGGGGAAUGGUCCCUCUUUUGGAAAAUUUUGAUGUAUUUUCCUAUGGGUUGGAGAGCUUAAAUACAUGUCAGGGCUUCUUAGAGAAAAAACUGAAUUCCUGAAAUCAAAUCAAUUGCAUUAAAAUUCUAGUUACAAUGGUAGCCACUCUUUCUUGAGAACAGUGCCAGAGGUGAACAGUGCUGAGUAAGACUGAUGAUUCUAAUGGCCAAGACCUGAGUAUUUCAACAUCCCAGGCCCUGAAGAAGAGUCAAACUCAGAGCAGAAGGGCAGAAAAUGGAGCCCUGUUCACUGCCAAGAGGCAGCAGGGAGGAUGGACACAGAAACGAUGCUCUAGUCAGCACUGUCACCAAACUGUUCACUUGACUCUUUCCUUCUUUUGCUCUUCUUUUAUUUUAUUCCUUCUUCUUGUCAUCAGAGCAAAUCCUGCUGCCAACACCGUUGGGACAAAGUGCUCAGUGCUGGUGGGUCACUGGCAUGGAGCAGGGGGCUGUUCCUGCAGCCCAGCCGUGGUCCCAGGUGAGCUCUUGGACCCAGCAGCAUCCCAGGUCCCAUCCACACUUGGGGCCAGCCCUGAGACAAUGCUGGUCCAAGCCACACUCAGAUCCAGCAUCACCUCAGACGGCAACGGGACUCGUGUGAGGCAGAACUGUGCUCUGGAUGAAACUGGUGGAAAGAAUUUAGAAUCAAAAUACUGUUAAAUGCCUCUAAUGUAGAAAUGUAAGUUCUUUAAACCUGAAGAUUUAAUUGAUAUUUUUUCUUCAAAUAACGGACUAAUGUCAAGUAAUUUAAGCCAUUUUACAGCAAAGGCAAUUGAAUAAUUGCUAAUGGCUUUCAGCUGAACGUGUUUAAAGUCAGGUCACAAAUCUGAGCUGAUUGAAAGACCAAGGGGCAUUCCUUUCUCUUGAAAAAGAAUUAGAUAACAAUGACAAUUAGAAGGUGGGAUUCAAAGGAAAGUUAGAAUUUGAGUAUGAGCCUUGGCAGACCAAGAGGGAAAGAACUGACCUGAUGAAGAAAAAUUGUUGCCAACUAUCCUGUGGAGUGAUUGAGGAGAGAAAAAGAAAAGAAAUCAGAGACUUUACAAUUAAAAUUUUGAAUUAUCUUAAUGUGCAUUAAGGGGUGAAAGUUUUUUUCAGCUUGGUGCAAGAUAUCCUGGGCUGUGGCUGCACCUUUCAUCCAUUCCCAGGCUGGCAAACGAUCUGGAUGAUGAGCACUUUGGCUGGAAAUCCCAUGGGCACACUGUGGCAUGCAGAGCAGUGCAGACUGGCAUGGCAGCACUGCCACACGCUCUGUGUCUAGGGGUGGUCACAGCGUGCAGAUUUAAAAUAACCCCCAAGCUCAGGAGAAUUAUUCAGAGAAAUACUCCUAAAUAUUUGCACGGGUGUUCUCAGAGCAAAUAAACCUCACACUUUUACAAAGAACAAUUUAUUGAUACUGCAGACAAGCUGGAACUGCAGCCUCAAGUUGCUGUUGGGGCAAGUCGUUGUUGUGUUUGUUUUCCUGCUGCUGGCUCAGGAAUUUGUUGGCUUUGGGAGCUGGCAGGUGCCUGUCCUCACGUUGCUGCACGUGUGUCACCUGGCACUGAACACUGCCACGUCUGCUGCCUGCCCUUGCCCUGCUGUGGGGGCUCAUCCUGCUGCUGGGGAGGGCAUUCCAACUCUGCAGCAGGCAGAGCCAGGCACAGCAGCUCUAAAACUGCUCCACAGAAUAAUUGCAAAGUGCAACGUGCCCAGCCUGGGGUCUGAGGGGUAAUUCAGGAUAUUCACACCCAUAUCGGCUGCAGCUGUCUCCUGAAGCUAGUGGGGACUUUCAGUGACAUCUUACAGCAGUGGCUUCCAUGUUCCAGUGAACAAAUCUCUGCCUUUUGCUGUUCUCUGGACUGGUCUUGCUCUGGUAGUUCUGGGAGGAGGAAGACAAGAAUUCCUCAUCAGUUUUCUUCAAAUAAUAGAAAGUGAAUUCCUUUGUCUCCUCCUUUUUUGAUUCCUUUUAAGGUAACUGGUUCUGGCUCUUCAGAGGGGAACUUACUUUUUACCUCAGUGUUUGUUCACUUCUGUCAAUCCUU